rnacentral:misc_RNA from 1 species
UAAAACUUUAUUUAGCCAAACGAAUAUGACUAUUUUUUUCCAGAUGAAAUUGUUAAUAAAAAGUCACUUACAAAAAUAUUUUACAAUUUUUUUUUCUAACAAAUUUAUGAUUAAAAUUAUUGUCAGAAAUGGAAAAAAUUUUCAGUAGUGAGCUUGCCAUAAGAGAAAAAUUCCAUCGGACGAAAUGAACAAUUCCCCCAUUACAAUUGAGACAUCAUCUACAUGUAUCAGUAUAAAGUACAAAGCAAACACCGCCAAAUCUCAUGCACACCUUGUUACAAGAACACGCGAAGCAAAACUAAUGCAAAUCCAUCCCUCAUUGUCAACCCACACCCUAUAGAUCAGUUGAAAGGCCUAUCACCAGUAAUCACGGAAGUCCAAUGUUAACUAGCCAAUUCCCCUGAUGCUUGCCUUUCAAUUACUUCCUCAUUCUCUGAACCAGCUCUGACAGGGCUGCUGCUAGGGAGAAUGCUGUCACUCUGGGAGUUGCUGGCAUUGUUGACUGCUUCAACAUUGUCUCCAGCCUUCAAAUUGCCCAAAUUCGGGGAAUUAAAUCCAGUAACACGGUCUUUUGAUUGUUUUGGCUGAUUCAGGGCAUGACAGUGGGGGCAGUAGUAAAUAAUGUACGGGAAAUCCUCCUUCCUGGCGAGCCCAUUGUGCAUAUGGCAGUUUCCACAUAUCAGUGCAUAAGAUUGUGUAGGGUCUUCACCGACAAGUAAUGCUGCCAAUCGAGCAAUCCAUCCCCCAUCGUGCACGGUAGAAGCCUGUGGAUUGUGAUGCUCAACGACAAGCUGAUUAUGCUCAGAAGUUUGAAGACCUUCACUUUGUGCAGAGCAUAGCAUUUCUUCGUUAGGAUGAAGCACUGGAGCACUCCCUGCACUACUGGAUCUAGCGUGUACUUGCUUUCUAUUUCUAAGGCUACUAGCUUGCACAAGCUCAACAUCAUUACUCUUCCCAGUUGGAAUGUUAAGCUUAGCUUCAUCUUCCACAGACACUUUCAAGCCAGAAUCAGAACCCAACUUAGACGCGAGGACAGUGGCAGCAGCUGCCUUUGCUGCUGGAUCAGGAUCAUAUCUCUGCAUAGACCCGGGUUUAAACUAAAAUUGGAAAUUCACAAACAUGGUAUCGUAAACAUUCCUAUUAAAGGAUAAAACCACUUGUUGCAUCAGCUCAAUAAAAAUAUUUUAUUUACAUUUAUUUUCCUUUGAGAUAUUCCCCAUCCAUUGCAUAUAUAGCUACGAAAUAUCCAAUUUUGAGACCUAAGUGAGCUAUCCACCAUGAUCCUUUUAAUUCAAGGUCAGAGUAGAAAAAAUGGCAUUACUGUAGUUUGCCAAUUUUAACCAUGUGUUCAUGCUUUUAUUGGCAUAGAAAUACUUUGAUUCCACUAACAAUUUUAAUUUUAUAUUGAAAAACUAGAAAAAAAAACUUUAUUCAUUUUAUUUAGCUUAAUUUGACCUAUGAUUAUUUCUCUGUUACUAAAUUUCAAUACAAUCACUAAACUUAAAUUUGCAUAAGCAAAGUCACUUAAUUGUAAUUGUCUUAAAAUAUUAUUUUUGCAAGUAGAUUUAAAAAAUUACUAAUUAUUAUAAAAAUUUUGGAUUAAAUCUAGUCAAAAUCCGGCAACAAUGACCUUAAUGCAACACAAUCAAAAUUGAGUUAUUUUGCUAAGACAUUAAAGUUCAGUAACCAUGCCAAUAAUCAUGGUGUAGUCGAUGAUGGAGGCGUGUAUGAUGGUGGUGGUAGUGCUUCAAAAUAAUGCCUACAUGUGUAACAGGUGGAAAAUAAGUUUUUCAUAAAGAAAAUUAUUAGAAAGCAAGUUCUAGUAGUUUUCCAACAAAAAUAUAUAAUUUUUGUAAUAAAUUUUCCAAUAUGUAGACCAGCCCUAGGGAUUUAUCAUUACAUAAUUUUCUAAGGAUUAAAAUGUAAAGGUAUAUUAGUAUCUCUUCAUUUUCCUUUCUAUCUCUCCGCUUUUCUUCCUCUAAAGGAGCAUGUUACUGUUCACUGCACUAUUAAUAGAAUCAGUUGGCUUGCAGCUUCAAUCUUCCAGACUUCCAUCCCCAACUCUAAGGCAUUGUCACGUCUAUAAAAGUCCCACCUUUAAUGUGUAAUCCAUAAAUACCACUAAGAUUUCCCGAGUCAUUCACAUCAAUUUCACCAUCAAAACAACUCAGAAAAAUCUGAAAUUGCAGGCUAUGGGAAAAAUAAAUUUUAAGUUUCAAUAAUAAAUUUCAUGUUUCAAAUAAAUAACACAUGGAAACCUAUCCAUCCAAAAUUGUCCUACAGAACGCCAACCUCUAAUUUUUCCAAAGAUUUAAUUCAAGUUCUACAUUAAAAGUUAGGGACUUUGGGUAGAGUUGCAGGUUGCAUUGUAGUUGAGUAAUGUUGGAGACAAAAUGGUACAGGAGUCAGACAUUACUGUUGAAGGAAUUUAUGAGCUGAGAAAGAGGGGAUUUUAUUUUAAUGAUAUAUAUGGUUUAAAAAGAAAAAGUGAAGAGGGUAGCUGCAGGCCUGCAGCAGAUGAGAAAUGGGAAGUCUCACUAUGGAUUCAUGCCUUCAUACUCGUAUGAAAAUGCUUGCAAUCAAAGACCAUGGAAGUAAAGAUAUGCUUAUUACAAGUGUGUAGAGGAGUAUAACAAUAAAAGCUUAGUAAAUACAAACCUCUAGUAAUCACUAGUCAACUCCACACUCAGCUAAAGGCCCAAAUAUGAGAUGAUGGCAUUGCAGAAACUUCCAAAAAAAAAAGUCCAUUAAUCAUACCAAUAAGCACUAAGUUGAAAACCUAUUUAACCUAGACUAUGUUAUAUUUGCCUACAUUGAAUUUGAAUGUCACCUAAGAAUAAGAUUCCAACACAGAGCAACUCUAAUGUCAAAAAUAAAAACUAGAAGAAAACGCAGAAAGAUAUCUCGUUACUAGGCCAUAUCACAAAUUACCUACCAUCACUUUAUAUAAAUAAAAAGCUCAAUUACAAUUAAUCAUAAGAACAUUCAUAAUACCAUUUUAGCCUAGAAAUAUAUUCCAGUGAAAUCAAGCCAGAUUAUCAUUAAUACUCUGAUAGGAUUUUAACUAGGUGCAAAAUAAAUAAAACGCAAAGGAUUUUUUUUACCAAUUUGGGAAUGGGUAAAAACCUCUAGUUGGACUCAAAUUCAAUGGGCACCUCAAAAGAAAAGGGUCUCAAUUCAUCCAUGACUAACCUUAGAGCUUCUCACUCCCUUUUCCGCAACAUCACUGCACACCAUGAUUAGGAAAACAACACUAAUAAAAAAUUGUGUGAGUGUAGCUCAAACAACUUUGACCUAUAAUCUGAAUGGAAUAGAUUUGAGAAAUAAUGGAUUAUUUGUUGAAUUUGCCUGGGUUUCAAAAUGGAUCUUAUUUGACAUAAUACACCCUAAACAUCCGUGUGUUCGGUUUGGUUACCCAAACACCCAGGCAAUUAAGACCCAAACAAUUUCAAGGUUCGAACAGGCGAAUGAUUCGCUUACCAAGCAUUAAGGACUAGAUUCCAAGAUACUCGCCUAACCAAGCAAGAGUCCUAGUCUGACAUAAACUCUAUUUGCAGUGGAUAAGCGUCCCACCUUAUCCUGGACUCAGAGUCCUACUCUACUUAGACUUCCUCCCCAGCAGGAGUCCAACCGAUGCCUAUAAAAAGGGAUUGCCAGGUAUGUUUCCCUAUCUUAGUUCCAUUCAUUCAAUCUCAGGACCCUUUACUAAGUAUUGGAACAGCAUCAUUAUUGAACCGAUUUCUCUAAUUAACUGGGCUCUAAGUUGAAGAUGAUACUAUAUUUUCAGUUUUACCCUUUAUUAAGUCAAUAAAGUUCCUAUAUGCCCAUUAAGGUCAGAUUAUUACAAGGUUGUCAUUAGUGAUUAAAAAUAUUCUUGCUUGAUUUGGCUGGAUUAACACUAGAGGAUAAAAUUGUAAUGAUUUUGAAAGUUCUUAUACUUGAUAAAAAAAAAAUGGAUUGCAAUUGAAAAAAGCCCAAAGUUUAAGAUUCUUUUUGGAAAGCCUAAAUAAAGGAACAAAAAGAUUGCUUCUAAUCUAAUCCAAUGUAUACAACAACAACAAAAACAAAUACACUUUAAUCCCAAACUAAUUGGGGUCGGCGAUAUGAAUCCUGUUCAUCAAAUUAAUAAAUCAUUUGCCAACUGAAAAUCUACAGAAAUGAUAAAAUAUACCUACUAAAUGCAUCCAGGCUGAUACCUCAAGUAAUAAACUUUUGCAAGAAACCCUACGCUAACACACAUGCAUGUACGCAUGCACAAACAAACACAAACAACUAGGGGAAAAAAAAACCAAAGAGCGUUCUAUGGAAAACAUAAAACAUAAUAGUUAUUUGUUACCUGAAUGAGUUGCUGCGUUGUGUAGUAAUUUGUCUUCUCUUUAAGCUCAUCAAUUUUUGCUUGCCUCUCAGCUCGAAGCCUUUCUAGAGUUUUCUGAUCCUUGCGAUCACAAAUCCUUGUGAAGCUCACAAAUGCUGAAUAAGCAAGGGACGAUAAACCAGGCAAAAGAAACAUUGGCAAAACUCGAAAUGCCCUCAUCUUCCAAUUCAAAUCCAUUGAUCUAGUCGUCAUUAUAGCAUAACCCACUGCAAUUACCUGGAUUUAAAGAACAAUUAUAGUAAGCACAUAUGACUGGGGAAAACCAUGAAUUACCAACUUCACAACAUUAUACUUCCGUCAAAUUUAAACUAGCAUUAGCAAGUGCCUAUACACCAAAUGGUGAAGCUCUUAGACCUGUUGUUUUGCAUGGGUUAAAACAUUACAGGUGAAUUUAUAAUCAUCUGGAAUACAAUAUAAGGAUAUCCACAAAUGUGUUGAUAUACUUGUAAUUGGCAGAUAUAACUACACAAUGGAUAUCAAAGAGCAUCCCAUUUUGAGAACACACGCAGUUGUAAAUUUCCAGGCUGCUAAACAGAAACUGGAGUAACUGAAACUAGGAAUCCAAGAAUUUGAAGCGAUGCAUUGCCAAUAGGAAUCCAAGAAUUCGUCGUAAAGCAGCAAAGGAAAGGACAAAAACCUCAAAAAUGAUGGAGAAAAUAAUGAGAUUCCUGGUCAUCUUCCUCCAAGUAAGGGAUCUCCUUUUCAUCCUAGAUAAAACAGCAGCUUCUUCCUUGGAAAUGUUUUGCAGUCUCUUUUCAAAAUCGUCCCCAUGGAAUCUAAAAAUGCCAUUCCAGAUACGAGACAUAAUACCCUUGCGCUUCUUUUUAUCAAUUAAUCUUUGUUCAUUCUUUUCACCUUCUGCUAUGCCUUUGUCCUCUGCCAUUUCUUUCACUCGUUUCUUGUUCUUGUACUACUGCUGCUACCCGAAAGAAACGGAUGGACAGUCGAUCUAUCAAAACGUUCGGGUAGUAGCUGGCUGAAGCUUCUUUAGUCCUCUUUUCCUCUUCAAAAGAAGUGCGUCCCAGAUCUAUCUGAAAUAAAACAAGCAAUCAAACUCCAAGCCGUAGAUGGGGCUUGGGAUUAGGGAGGAGGCAACACGGGAACAGAUCGACAAUAAUUACGGUAAUGGUCUCCGACUCUGGGUUUAUUUUUUGCAAGCAAUUUCAACUUCGCGAAAACCAAUCCAUUAAUAAAUGCAAUCUCUCAUCAAACUUGGACCCUACUCAACCCUCAUCCACGCGAAAGGUCAAUUUGGAUAGGGGACAGG